UAAUAAGUGUUUAUGGCACUUUUUAAAAUCCAUAUCCACCUUGUGUGCAAUGUUAAAAAUGUCGUUCCAGGGACCUGUUUUUCAGUCCCUGGGCGAGAUUUUUUAUACAUCAACUCAUUCUAAAACCAAUUUGUCUGAAAAAUAUUAUGAAUUACCUAAUUCAAAAUA
rnacentral:misc_RNA from 1 species